ensembl:lncRNA
AGCAUAUGAAUGAGUAGAUAGAGACAUUCCAUAGACAACCUCAUACCUGUCUAACUAAGCCCCUCACCUGGCAGGGGAGAGAGAGGUUCAGACCCCCUGAGCUCCAGUCAGGGGAGAGAGAGAGGUUCAGACCCCUUGAGAUCCAGUCAGGGGAGAGAGAGAGGUUCAGACCCCUUGAGCUCAGGCAUGGUGCUCCAGGCAGGGGAGAGAAAGGUUCGGGUGCUCCAGGCAGGGGAGAGAGAGGUUCAGACCCCUUGAGCUCAGGCAUGGUGCUCCAGGCAGGGGAGAGAAAGGUUCGGGUGCUCCAGGCAGGGGAGAGAGAGGUUCAGACCCCUUGAGCUCAGGCAUGGUGCUCCAGGCAGGGGAGAGAAAGGUUCGGGUGCUCCAG